UACGAAGGGGGCUAGCGUUGCUCGGAAUUACUGGGCGUAAAGCGCACGUAGGCGGCUUUCUAAGUCGGUGGUGAAAUCCUGGAGCUCAACUCCAGAACUGCCUUCGAUACUGGAGAGCUUGAGUCCGGGAGAGGUGAGUGGAACUGCGAGUGUAGAGGUGAAAUUCGUAGAUAUUCGCAAGAACACCAGUGGCGAAGGCGGCUUCCUGGACUAAAACUGACACUGAGGUGCGAAAGCGUGGGGAGCAAACAGG
rnacentral:rRNA from 1 species